rnacentral:misc_RNA from 1 species
AUGAUUGCCUCAGGCCUUAUCGAUUAUUAAUCCCAACACCUCUGUGAACCGUUUCGCCCUCGGGCUGAUCUUUUUUUUUUUUUCAUUUUAUAUUUUUAUUACAUAAUACAAACAUUGUGUAAUGACGUCUUGUUAAUCUUAAACAAAAC